AGUAAUUUUAAUUUAAAAAUCAGAUUUUUCAUUCUAUAAAAGUAAUCGUAGAAUUUUGUAUCCUCAUUCAAGAGAAAACAAUGUCUGGAAUUUUAAAAUUUGUUUAUAUUAUGGUUAUUUUUCUUUUCAUAUGUAUCGAUCUGAUGGAUGGAGCUUAUUUAGCUAAUUUUUGCGAUGAGGAUAAAGAUUGCCCUAAAACUAUUUGUCUUCCAAAUGAAGUCACAAAAUGUGUAAGGAUGAUUUGUCAUUGUGUGGAUGGAUAGAAAAGUUGUUUGAAAAAUAAUUUUAUGUGUUUUUUAAGAUUAUGUUUGUAUUUAAAGUUAUAAUUUCUCUCACAGUUUAAUCAAAUGUAUAUUAUAAUAUGGGUCAUGCUAACGGGUGCCCCAGGGGCACUGGUUAAGCAUUUCAAAUUAAGAAAAUAUUUUAGAUUCAAUGCAUUGAAUACA